CUAACCUUCCAUCUCUCUCUCUCUCUCUCUCUCUCUCUCGCAUGCUUGGUCACUUCCCGCCUCCCUAGUUUCCCUCAAAUCGUCGACCCUAACCGUAACCUUCUAGCUGCCGGCGAGGGUCGCCGAUGCUUUGAUAGCCUUCAAUUUUUUGCUACUUGUCCAGAGUUGCAACUUCAAAGUGGUAAGAUGUCAAUAUCCUUUAAGAAAUUGUGGGUUAUUUAUGGAUCUUCAAAGUUUUUGUGAUUUUUUUGGUGAUUUUAUCUACUUGACUGUGUGAUUUGAACAUGGAAAUGAACUGCUAAAAUAAUAUUCGUGAUAAACCUUAUUAUCAGCAGCAAGUUUGUUCACCAAUUGAACAAAAGCGUUAGAUUUAGGAUUUUUAAUUUAGUAGCUUUAUCUGAUUUCGAUCUGCUGUCUUUAAUAGAAUAUUCUGCUCGAUCUGUUAGAUGUUGUUUCAGAUAUACUAUUUCUUGAUGUAGAUUGCAGUUUUAUCUGUUAAAAAAAUAACUCUUUUAUUUUGAGUUUUGUAUAUGUAAUUUAAUGGUGUUGAUCGUUGAUCUGUGGAUUUAAUUUUUAUUUUGCGUUCUUAUUUUAUUGGUUUUUAAUUAUAAAAAGAGAUACAGUGUUAUUUCUAAAAUGACGUCUCAUUUUGAAAAGCAAAAAAAAAUAUUUGAUAAAAAGGAAGUGGUGUCUAAUAUGCACGGAUUAUGUAUUUCCUGUUGUGAAUAAAUUAACAUUACUUAUAUUGCUCCAAAAAGUUUAAUAAAUUCUCAGUGCUUGUAAAUCAAGUGUUAGUACUUAGCAUUGCAAUUAUAAUUUACAAUUUAGUCGCACUUACAUUGUUGUUAUCAAUUGUCAUCUUUUUAUGCGUAAAAUAAAUUAUAAAGUUUUCUCUCACAGGAAGGUUACAUGUAACAUGUUAUUCCUUUUUCUCCAUCUGUGUCAUCUGACAUUGUUUCAGUUUAUGCUAUGCACUUGUUUGUGCAUACCGCAAUAGUACAUGUACUUUCUUUUAUCAUCUCUUAUUUCUAUAUUGGUUUUAUGCUGUGGUUUCCAGUUCAUAGAAAAUGGCCUAUGGUGAGAUAUUCAGCCCCUCGUUUGUGACAAUGGAACUGGAAUGGUGAAGGUUCGUAAGCAUUUUUAAAUUCUCUAGUCUUCUGUAUUCAAUUUAUUAUGUAAUUAAUUUCGAGGGACUUGUUUAAUUUUACUCCUGCAGGCUGGUUUUGCCGGUGAUGAUGCUCCUGCAGAUUCAAUCCAACAAUAUGCUUAGAUUGCCAUAGAGGUAUUCAUUUAAAUUAAUUUUGUUUCUCCACAAUAGGUAUUGUUUAAAUGCUGUUGUAUUAUCUCUCUUUGUAGCACAAGGCAAUUGGUAUCCCUUUUGAGAAUUAUACGAGAAUAGUAUUGAUUUGGUUGUGAUAGACAUCGAUAACAGAUGGAGUGUGCUUGUGGUUCUAUUUAAUAUCCAUGAAUCUAUAUGGUACUUAUGCUUGUGAGUGUACGGAAUGAAAUACCCAAUGUUUUAUGAAAGCCACCUGCCUUUUGGACAUACGUGAUUUUGUACACGUGUUCAUUUCAGUAGUUAAGUUGGAUUGUCCAUAUUUUUGGGAUCGUUUCCUAUUACCUUUUCCAAUUUUUGAGUUCCUCUUACGUGUAAUUAAAUAAUGCACUUGUUAUGUUGUUUCGAACUUCAAAAGUAAGGAAUUGUAGGAGUAUGCUUGCAACUUCUUGUAACAUGGUUUGCUAGUUUGUGCAUUAAAAUUUGAACUCGUG
rnacentral:lncRNA from 1 species